AAUAACCCACUUCCUAUUUUGUCUCUCACCUAGAACACAACCCCAUUCUUUUGAAGCCGCUUGAUUUGCAAAAACUCCGCCGUCGGAGAAACCGAGUCUACUUCGUUGACGAUUGUCGCCGGCUGCGCCUUCUUUCGUAGGAGUAACCCGAGAGGUAAAUCGUCGGUGAACUAGUUUGAUUCCUUUUUUUCUGCUUUUGGAUCCCAAUUUUAAACUGUUGACGUGUUCUUCUUCUCCGGUACAAUCGGGCUGUCAGGAACCGGAGAUUCCCACCGACGAACUACAGCUUUCUAGGCGAAAACUGUACCAGAGUAACAGGUUAGUAAGAAUCCGGUAAUAAUCCUGAUCAGAUUCCGCCAAUUUCCGUUUUUCCUUUUCGAUUUGAUUUGGCGCAGACUUCCAUUUCAUCCCGAUCAAAAUCCGCGGUUGCUAAUGCCGCCAAGACCCAUCGUUCCUGCCCGAAUGACACGUAGUCGGUCUGCCAAACAACUACCUACAAAUACAUCGGAGAAUGUAAGUGCUUCUGUCGGAAUAAUGUACCAGAUUUUGUUGGCCUAAACGACAUGCACCGGCCCGAUUCAAGAGCAAAGGUUAGUGUAAAUUCAUAAUUGUUCAAUCUAAUGCUUUCGAGUUCCUUUUCAAGAUGAUUGUCUCAAUCACAGUCAUUUGAAUUGUUUCAUUUAGUUCCUUUUGCUACCUAGUUGUUUGGAAGCUUGCUACGUGCAGACUUGUUUAGUUGCUUGAGCUAGAUACCCUUAGUUCUGAAUCUUGAUGAGGAACAUGAUGUUUUUAUUGGAAAAUUUUGCAUGUUUUGAUGUUGUUAUGAACAAGUUGGAUCCUGAUGUACUUGUUUUGUUUAAUAAUGGAUUUAGGUUCUUUAUAUUCUGGUUUUGUUUAGUUUCUUGUAGUUAUGUCUGGUCCAAAUUUGUUUGUUAGCUCAGUGCAUAUUGGUUUUGAUGCUUGAUUUAGAUAUCUUUGGUACGGAAUGUUGAAGAGAGGAAUGAGAUGUUCUUUUCGUUAUUUUUGCAUGCUUUGUUGGUGCUUUGACCAAUUUAGUUCCUGAUGUACUGGUUUUGUUUAAUACUGGUUGUAGGUUCUCACUAGGUUGGCACGAGAGGAUUUUCCCGAGAGGAGAUGGUGACAGACCGAAAGAUAUGGAUGAGGACACAUAAAGGGACGAUGAACUUGAAAAUGAAAGAAAGGAAGAGGUACAUGGCUGAUUAGUGACUUGUUAUUUUGUUUUUGUUAAAACAAUUUAGUCCUUCGAGUCCACUUAGUUGGUGGUUUUGGUUAAUUGUAGGAGAAUGCUAAGGUUUUGGCUGUGAGUUGCCGUUGUAGCCCAAAAAUGAUCAUUGAUUUGGUUUCUUUGAAGGCAAUAUCUGCUUCAAAGAUACGUGCCUUGGAAUCGACAGGGUUUGGUGGUAUUUUCUUGGUACAAAUCGAUUCCAUGUGUGAUUUAAUUAACCGGUGGGCCUUGAAAGUUUAUGAUCCUGGAACCAAGUGUUUUUACUUCAUCAAGGAUGACCCUCUUAUCAUAAUUGAGAUGUAUUUUGAGUUGUUGAAUUUGUACAGAUAGGUUCUUAUAUAGUUAGUACUCACUGUUGUAGAAUGGCUGCAUAGGUUAGAACUUAGAAUUAGCUGAAGAUUCAAUUGUUUGGUUCCAGUAAUCACCUACCUUGGUGCGUGAUGCCCCAUUGUAUAUAUAAUGGAACUCUUUGUGUUGGAUGUGUUAAAUAGGAUCUAGUGACUUUAUUUGCUUUGAAUCUGGUGUUGGGUUUUGUGGAACUGACAUGAGGAGAGUCAAUCAAUCCAUCAUCUACUUGAAACUAACACCCAAAAUUGAAAUCAGGAACAUAAAAAUUGAAGAAAAAUAUGAACAUGACAAAUGAAAUAAACGGAUGAGAGCUAUUAAAAAAAGAAAAUGCCUAAAAACUUAUGUACAACUGCAGUCGGCCGCCGG
rnacentral:lncRNA from 1 species